AAAAAAUCUAUAUUAGAGAUCCCUAUCUUAGGGGUGAAAGUCAGAGACAGGGAAUUGUUAUUAACAUAAGAGAAAAAAUCCUUUAAUUCUUCUAAGGGACCACGCCAGAUGACAAGGACGUCAUCUAUAUAGCGUCUCCAGAGCACCAAGUUUGCACCAUAAGGGUUAUUAGACCAAAUGGAUGACCUUUCCCAAUAGUCCAUGAACACAUUGGCAUAGCUAGGUGCAAACUUGGUGCCCAUUGCCGUGCCCUUAAUUUGUAAAAAAUAUUCCUCAUUGAAAAUGAAAAAAUUAUGGGUAAGGAUAAAAC